rnacentral:snRNA from 1 species
UUUUGUAAUGUUUAGACCAAAGCGAACUAUUCUUUCGUUUUUUACUAAAGAAUACCGUGUGCUCUCCACGCUGAGUGGCAUACGCCUAUUUUUGGAAGGAUCCACUUUCGAGUGGGC